AGUUGGUUUUUAUUUAAGAUAAAUUUCUGCUCAAUGAGUAAAUUAAAUAGCUGCAGUAAAUUAACUGUACUAAGGUAGCAUAAUAAGUUGCUUUAUAAUUAAAAGCUUGAAUGAAAGAAAUAAUGUGAAACAAGCUUUUUAAACUAAAGUAGUAAAAAUUAAUAUUUAAGUGAAAAAUCUUAAAUAAAAUCAAAAGACAAGAAGACCCUUUAGAACUUUACAAAUUAACUUAAUUUCAUUUGGUUAAUUUUGUUAGAUUGGGGAGAUUUUUAAAUAAAUAAAUCUUUAGAUAUAAAAAAAUGAUUUAAAUCAAAUUAAAUUAUCCAAAUAUGAAAUAAAACAAGUUACCUAAGGGAUAACAGCGCAAAAUUUUUGAGAAGUUCUCAUUUACAAAAUAAAUUGCGACCUCGAUGUUGGAUUAAGAACAACUUAUAAAGAAAAAUUUAUAAGAGUUGGUCUGUUCGCCCAAAUAAAUCUUACAUGAUCUGAGUUCAAACCAGA
rnacentral:rRNA from 1 species